GGUUGCGAUCAUACCAGCACUAAUGCACCGGAUCCCAUCAGAACUCCGCAGUUAAGCGUGCUUGGGCGAGAGUAGUACUGGAUGGGUGACCCCCUGGGAAGUCCUCGUGUUGCAACCC
rnacentral:rRNA from 1 species